AGUGAACGCUGGCGGUAGGCCUAACACAUGCAAGUCGAACGGCAGCACAGUAAGAGCUUGCUCUUACGGGUGGCGAGUGGCGGACGGGUGAGGAAUACAUCGGAAUCUACUUUUUCGUGGGGGAUAACGUAGGGAAACUUACGCUAAUACCGCAUACGACCUACGGGUGAAAGCAGGGGAUCUUCGGACCUUGCGCGAUUGAAUGAGCCGAUGUCGGAUUAGCUAGUUGGCGGGGUAAAGGCCCACCAAGGCGACGAUCCGUAGCUGGUCUGAGAGGAUGAUCAGCCACACUGGAACUGAGACACGGUCCAGACUCCUACGGGAGGCAGCAGGGGGGAAUAUUGGACAAUGGGCGGAAGCCUGAUCCAGCCAUACCGCGUGGGUGAAGAAGGCCUUCGGGUUGUAAAGCCCUUUUGUUGGGAAAGAAAAGCAGCAGGUUAAUACCCCGCUGUUCUGACGGUACCCAAAGAAUAAGCACCGGCUAACUUCGUG
rnacentral:rRNA from 1 species